UUUAGCUGCUGCAGCCUGGGCCUGAUGAAUCCGUUCUGUAAAAAUUCAGACCAAGAAUGAGUCAGACUUCAAUGACUGUUACCCAGUGACACUGCAAUAAUGUCAAUUAUCCUGCAGUUGAACUGCUUCAGGAUACAGGAUGAAUGUGCAGCUUACAAUGAUGGUCACCAAUAUUUGUUUAGGAAUGCUAGCUCAAGCAGGUCACAGUCGACAACCAUUCUCAAUCAGCAGACAACUGGCGUGGCACUCAGUCAAUCUCCCAGGAGAGUCAAUGCCUUGAAGAAAGGAGCAGCCUGUGUAAGAAGCUGAGGUCCUUCUGUUGCUGUACACUUUUUGGAACUGUUGCAUACUUAGUCUACACUGCUUCGCUCUAGCCCUGCUGCCAAGGUGCAUCACUCGACACGUGUGUUAAAAUUCCAUCUGCCAUUGUUAUAGCAGGGAGACCAGAACUGGACACAGUAUUCCAGAAGAGGCCACACCAACAUCCUGUACAACCUCAACACGCUGUUCCAACUCCGAUACUCAAAGGUCUGAGCAACGAAGGUGAUUCUGGAAGAUUACCAAAAUUAACAUGGAAGGUGCAUGUAUACAAAACACAGUCCAAAUGACUUCUCUAAUCCCACAUUUUGAAAUCUAGUGUCAGAAUCUCACCUAGUGAUAGAAUGGUGACAUAGGCCGGUCUAUCAGAUCUCAGCAGAGAGUGUUCGCGUGCCUUGUUGAGAGAAGGAUCCUUGUCAAAUACUCCCUUCACGGGGCCCACAACAGAGUCAAAGCCAUGCAUGCGGAAGGUGAAGGCUUUGUGAGGCUGACUGUAUCGUUGACGCUCCUGUGGAAAAGACACAAACUAUCAACUCAAUGUCCAAUAACCCAGGAUGAACUGAGCUUUGAAAUCCUACUCUGGGUUUACAGAAAUAAUGAAACACAAGAAUGUCCGUCACAUGGAAGCCGAAUAGGGAUUGUAGUUUCAAACAGAGGUCAUCAGAACUGGUUUUCCAGCAAAUACCACAAGUACAAUGGGAUAUAAUGUUUGACAAUUGGUCAAUUUUUUGAAAUUUAACUGGUAGGGUAGAUAAAAGAAACCAGAAUAUUUAGUAUAUUUGGAUUUCCAAAAGCGAUUUGAUAUGGUGCCAUUGAAAAGCUUAGCACACCACAUGAAGUUGGGAUGAUAUAUUAGCAUGGAUAAAAGAUUAGAUUAUGAAUAGGAAGCAGAGGCAUUUUCGGUGUCAGGCUACAACUAAUACAAUAUCACAAGGAUAAGUGCAAGGGCCUCAGAUAUUUCCACAUUAUUACUUAGAUAAAGAGACAUACAGAAAUGUAAUAUCAGCAAAUGUAUACAAAGUUUGUUGGGAAUGCAAAUUGUUGAGAGGACACAAAGAAGCUGAAAAGAGAUAUGAACAAGUUAAAUGAGUGGGCAACAGGUGGCAGAUGGAGUAUAUUGUAGGAAGUGUGAGGUUAUUCACUUUGACAAGUUUGAAGUGGAGAAUAUUUUCCAAAGGGUAUGAAACAUGUAAAUAUUGUUGUUCAGACACUUGGAUGUACGCCUGCCAGGAAGCGACUGUCUGCAUUCAGGUACAGCAAUUCGGAAGGCAAAUGGCAUGCUGAUAUUUAUUCCAAGAGGACUGAAAUACAGAAAUAAAAAUACAAC